rnacentral:rRNA from 1 species
AGGACGAACGCUGGCGGCGUGCUUAACACAUGCAAGUCGAGCGGAAAGGCCCUUCGGGGUACUCGAGCGGCGAACGGGUGAGUAACACGUGAGUAACCUGCCCCAGGCUUUGGGAUAACCCUCGGAAGCGGGGGCUAAUAACCGGAUAUUCACUAUCGGCGGCAUCGUUGGUGGUGGAAAGUUUUUCGGCUUGGGAUGGGCUCGCGGCCUAUCAGCUUGUUGGUGGGGUGAUGGCCUACCAAGGCGACGACGGGUA